rnacentral:rRNA from 1 species
UACGUCGGGGGCAAGCGUUGUCCGGAUUUAUUGGGCGUAAAGAGCGUGUAGGCGGCUUCACAGGUCCGCUGUGAAAACUCGAGGCUCAACCUCGAGCUGUCGGUGGAAACCGUGUGGCUAGAGUCCGGAAGAGGAGAGUGGAAUUCCCGGUGUAGCGGUGAAAUGCGCAGAUAUCGGGAAGAACACCCGUGGCGAAGGCGGGUCUCUGGGAAGUAACUGACGCUGAGAAGCGAAAGCAUGGGUAGCAAACAGG